ACAUGGACGGAGAUUCAGUUUCUGGACAGAAGAGGCAUUGCUGCUUCUGCAGGAACUCUGCAGCUGAUCUUCAGGUUCCAGAGACGACCACCUCCACACCUGAAGUCCAGUCAGACAGGAUGUGUCGGCAACAGGAAGAGAGGAGCAGUGAAGACAUUUGAUUCAGAGAGACUCCCCCCCCCCCACCGCCACAAACACUACUGCUGUCACUUUUGUCUAAAUAAAUUGUUAAUAAUUUAUUUCCUGCAUUUUUAUUGAACAUUUCAUAAUCCACUGUAACAUAACUCUAGCAGAUGAUUAUGACAUAACAUGAACAAAAACAGGAACCAAAGAUAUGAUCCAAGAAUGCUAACAGCUCAGUCACUUUUGUCUCCUCCUUCAGAGGUCGCCUCAGCCAAUCAGCAUCAGCGCUUCACACGGGUGGUUUUUACACCUGUGUGAUAUUGACAUGGAACACCAGAUGUUCUAAAGUUUAUUCAUUUGAAUUACUAAAAAUGUUUAGUUCAACAUGAAAUUAGCAAAAAAGAAAACAAAGAAAAA